AUUGAACGCUGGCGGAAUGCUUUACACAUGCAAGUCGAGCGGCAGCGCGGGGCAACCUGGCGGCGAGCGGCGAACGGGUGAGUAAUACAUCGGAACGUGCCCAGACGUGGGGGAUAACUACUCGAAAGAGUGGCUAAUACCGCAUACGAUCUAAGGAUGAAAGCGGGGGAUCGCAAGACCUCGCGCGUUUGGAGCGGCCGAUGGCAGAUUAGGUAGUUGGUGGGGUAAAGGCUUACCAAGCCCGCGAUCUGUAGCUGGUCUGAGAGGAUGAUCAGCCACACUGGGACUGAGACACGGCCCAGACUCCUACGGGAGGCAGCAGU
rnacentral:rRNA from 1 species